GACGAACGCUGGCGGCGUGCUUAACACAUGCAAGUCGAACGGAAAGGCCCUGCUUUUGUGGGGUGCUCGAGUGGCGAACGGGUGAGUAACACGUGAGUAACCUGCCCUUGACUUUGGGAUAACUUCGGGAAACUGGGGCUAAUACCGGAUAGGAGCUCCUGCUGCAUGGUGGGGGUUGGAAAGUUUCGGCGGUUGGGGAUGGACUCGCGGCUUAUCAGCAUGUUGGUGGGGUAGUGGCUUACCAAGGCUUUGACGGGUAGCCGGCCUGAGAGGGUGACCGGCCACAUUGGGACUGAGAUACGGCCCAGACUCCUACGGGAGGCAGCAGUGGGGAAUAUUGCACAAUGGGCGGAAGCCUGAUGCAGCAACGCCGCGUGCGGGAUGACGGCCUUCGGGUUGUAAACCGCUUUCGCCUGUGACGAAGCGUGAGUGACGGUAAUGGGUAAAGAAGCACCGGCUAACUACGUG
rnacentral:rRNA from 1 species